AGUGAACGCUGGCGGUAGGCCUAACACAUGCAAGUCGAACGGCAGCACAGUAAGAGCUUGCUCUUACGGGUGGCGAGUGGCGGACGGGUGAGGAAUACAUCGGAAUCUACUUUUUCGUGGGGGAUAACGUAGGGAAACUUACGCUAAUACCGCAUACGACCUACGGGUGAAAGCAGGGGAUCUUCGGACCUUGCGCGAUUGAAUGAGCCGAUGUCGGAUUAGCUAGUUGGCGGGGUAAAGGCCCACCAAGGCGACGAUCCGUAGCUGGUCUGAGAGGAUGAUCAGCCACACUGGAACUGGGACACGGUCCAGACUCCUACGGGAGGCAGCAGUAGGGAAUAUUGGACAAUGGGCGCAAGCCUGAUCCAGCCAUACCGCGUGGGUGAAGAAGGCCUUCGGGUUGUAAAGCCCUUUUGUUGGGAAAGAAAAGCAGCAGGUUAAUACCCCGCUGUUCUGACGGUACCCAAAGAAUAAGCACCGGCUAACUUCGUG
rnacentral:rRNA from 1 species